GCCGCUAUGGUGAAAUCGGUAGACACGUGCUUCUUAGGAAGCGUGCUAGAGAAUCUCGGUUCGAGUCCGAGAGUGGCG
rnacentral:tRNA from 1 species